rnacentral:rRNA from 1 species
AAAGGAAUUGACGGGGACCCGCACAAGCGGUGGAGCGUGUUCUUUAAUUCGAUGGUAAGCGAAGAACCUUACCAGGGUUUGACAUCCUACUAAUCUUGCCGAAAGGCGAGAGUGUCUUCGGACCGUAGUGACAGGUGUUGCAUGGCCGUCGUCAGCUCGUGUCGUGAGAUGUUUGGUUAAGUCCAUCAACGAGCGCAACCCUUGUGAUUAGUUGAAUUUUUCUAAUCAGACUGCCCCGGUAACGGGGAGGAAGGGGGGGAUGAUGUCAGGUCAGUAUUACCCUUACACCCUGGGCUAGAAACACGCUACAAUGGCCGGUACAAAGGGCUGCCAAGUCGCGAGACGGAGCAAAUCCCAUCAAAGCCGGUCUCAGUUCGGAUAGCAGGCUGAAACUCGCCUGCUUGAAGUCGGAAUCGCUAGUAACGGUAGGUCAGCACACUACCGUGAAUACGUUCCCGGGUCUUGUACACACCGCCCGU